CCUACGGGAGGCAGCAGUGAGGAAUAUUGGUCAAUGGGCGCAAGCCUGAACCAGCCAAGUCGCGUGAGGGAAGACGGCCCUACGGGUUGUAAACCUCUUUUGCCGGGGAGCAAGCCUGAGCACGUGUGCCCAGGCGGAGAGUACCCGGAGAAAAAGCAUCGGCUAACUCCGUGCCAGCAGCCGCGGUAAUACGGAGGAUGCGAGCGUUAUCCGGAUUUAUUGGGUUUAAAGGGUGCGCAGGCGGGCUGUUAAGCCGGCGGUAAAAAUUCAGGGCUCAACCCUGUCGAGCCGUCGGAACUGGCAGUCUUGAGUGGGCGAGAAGUAUGCGGAAUGCGUGGUGUAGCGGUGAAAUGCAUAGAUAUCACGCAGAACGCCGAUUGCGAAGGCAGCCUGCCGGGGUGCGACUGACGCUGAGGCUCGAAGGUGCGGGUAUCAAACAGGAUUAGAUACCCUUGUAGUC
rnacentral:rRNA from 1 species